rnacentral:rRNA from 1 species
UACGUAGGGUGCAAGCGUUAAUCGGAAUUACUGGGCGUAAAGCGUGCGCAGGCGGUUUUGUAAGUCAGAUGUGAAAUCCCCGGGCUUAACCUGGGAACUGCAGUCGAGACUGUCUAGCUAGAGUAUGGGAGAGGGAAGUGGAAUUUCAGGUGUAGCGGUGAAAUGCGUAGAUAUCUGAAGGAACAUCAGUGGCGAAAGCGACUUCCUGGACCAAUACUGACGCUCAUGUGCGAAAGCGUGGGGAGCAAACAGG